AACGCGAAGAACCUUACCUACCCUUGACAUCUAUAGAAGACUGCAGAGAUGCGGUUGUGCCGAAAGGAACUAUAAGACAGGUGCUGCAUGGCUGUCGUCAGCUCGUGUUGUGAGAUGUUGGGUUAAGUCCCGUAACGAGCGCAACCCUUAUCCUUAGUUGCCAGCGCGUAAAGGCGGGGACUCUAAGGAGACUGCCGGUGAUGAACCGGAGGAAGGCGGGGACGACGUCAAGUCAUCAUGGCCUUUAUGGGUAGGGCUACACACGUGCUACAAUGGACAGUACAAAGGGCAGCAAGACCGCGAGGUUUAGCCAAUCCCAAAAAGCUGUUCGUAGUCCGGAUUGAAGUCUGCAACUCGACUUCAUGAAGUCGGAAUCGCUAGUAAUCGCGAAUCAGAAUGUCGCGGUGAAUACGUUCCCGGGCCUUGUA
rnacentral:rRNA from 1 species